UACGUAGGGUGCGAGCGUUAAUCGGAAUUACUGGGCGUAAAGCGUGCGCAGGCGGUUCGUUGUGUCGGCGGUGAAAGCCCCGGGCUUAACCCUGGGAAUGGCCGUCGGAAACUGGCGAACUGGAGUGUGGCAGAGGGGGGUGGAAUUCCGCGUGGUAGCGGUGAAAUGCGUAGAUAUCAGGAGGAACACCGAUGGCGAAGGCAGGUCUCUGGGACUGACACU
rnacentral:rRNA from 1 species